rnacentral:sRNA from 1 species
ACCUGGUAUUUUGUAUCUUUAAGUACUCAUUCAAAUUUUUAAAAGUUGAUUUAAAAACUUUUUACUUUUAAUUUUAGGUCAGAAAUCACAGAGACCUUCAACAGCAAAUUUUCCACUUUGCAACUCUGUUAAAGAAAGCUCCAGCUGCCUUUCAUCCUCUCAUCCUCGAUCAAGAAGUGCAGCUGCUCAAUCAUUAUCUAGAGCUGCUUCUGAAAUUUCAGAAAUUGAAUAUGUUGAUAUUACUGACCAGAAUGAGCUUUCCUUAGAUGACACUACUGAUCAACAUACCUUAGACAGUUUGGAAAAAGAAUUACAAGUGCUGAGAACUCUUGCAGAUACUUCAGAAAAGCUUUACAGCUUAACCUCAGAAGAGUUCCCAGAUUUCAGCAGCCAAUCACUGAAUAUAAGUCAGACUUCCACAGAUUUCCUUAAGACCUCACAUGUGAGGGGUCCCUGUGGAGUUGAGGAAUUGAGCUGUUCUGGAAGAGAUACCAAAAUUCAGUCUUUGCUGUCACUUUCUGAGAGCAGUACGGAUGAGGAGGAGGAAGAUUUUCUCAACAAGCAACAUGUCAUCACACUACCAUGGUCAAAGAGUACUUAAAGAUUAUUUGUUCAUUACUGUUUCAAUUUUGCACCCAGAGUAAAGCAAACAACUGAGAAAAGUAACCAAGUGAUUACCUGUCCAAGUGCUGGAGAUUUUGAUUAUUAAUGUCUUUGAUGUUUCAAGGCUACAAACUAAUAAAAGUAAAAUUAUAA